UACGGGGGGGGCAAGCGUUGUUCGGAAUUACUGGGCGUAAAGGGCGCGUAGGCGGUUCGAUAAGUCCCGUGUGAAAUCCCUCGGCUCAACUGAGGAAUGGCACGGGAAACUGACGGGCUUGAGUUCGGGAGAGGGAAGCGGAAUUCCGGGUGUAGCGGUGAAAUGCGUAGAUAUCCGGAGGAACACCGGUGGCGAAGGCGGCUUCCUGGACCGACACUGACGCUGAGGCGCGAAAGCUAGGGGAGCAAACGGG
rnacentral:rRNA from 1 species